GAUCAUGGCUCAGGAUGAACGCUAGCUACAGGCUUAACACAUGCAAGUCGAGGGGCAGCAUGGUCUUAGCUUGCUAAGGCUGAUGGCGACCGGCGCACGGGUGAGUAACACGUAUCCAACCUGCCGUCUACUCUUGGCCAGCCUUCUGAAGGAAGAUUAAUCCAGGAUGGGAUCAUGAGUUCACAUGUCCGCCAUGAUUAAAGGUAAGUUUACGUUACGUACGAUGGGAGG
rnacentral:rRNA from 1 species